GGCUUCGUGGUCGAGGGGUAAGGACAUUUGCCUCUUACACUGGAGUCUCGGGUUCGUUCCCCGGUCGAGGAGCUG